CGGCUGGUUUGAUUCAUCCAUUCUGAAGAGACGGGGAGCGGGGGGCUCGUCUGAUCCAGGGGCCCAGAACCAAGGAGUGGCGGAGUUUGAGAAGCUAGCAGCUCGGGGUUCGGCGACAGCAGCCCCAUCGGCCGAAGUUCGGGGCGGGGGGCGAGCGCUCGGGGUUGGGGGGGUCCUGGUCUUUGGGCUUCUCGACUCGGUCCUGUUUCGACAGCGAACAUGUCUCGGCCUGUCAGAAAUAGGAAGGUCGUUGAUUAUUCACAGUUUCAGGAGUCUGAUGAUGCAGAUGAAGAUUAUGGAAGAGAUUCAGGUCCUCCCACUAAGAAAAUCCGAUCAUCUCCUCGAGAAGCUAAAAAUAAGAGGCGAUCUGGAAAGAAUUCACAGGAAGACAGUGAAGACUCAGAAGAGAAAGAUGUGAAGGCCAAGAAGGAGGACUCUCAUUCCGCAGAGGACAGUGAAGAUGAAAAAGAUGAUCAUAAAAAUGUACGCCAACAGAGGCAGGCAGCAUCUAAAGCAGCUUCUAAACAGAGAGAGAUGCUCCUGGAAGAUGCGGGUAGUGAGGAGGAGCAAGAGGAAGAGGACGAGGCACCAUUCCAGGAGAAAGAUUCUGGCAGUGAUGAGGAUUUCCUAAUGGAAGACGAUGAUGACAGUGACUAUGGCAGUUCAAAAAAGAAAAACAAAAAGAUGGUUAAGAAAUCCAAACCUGAGCGAAAAGAAAAGAAAAUGCCCAAA